rnacentral:rRNA from 1 species
ACGGGAGGCAGCAGUGGGGAAUAUUGCACAAUGGGCGAAAGCCUGAUGUAGCGACGCCGCGUGAGCGAUGAAGUAUUUCGGUAUGUAAAGCUCUAUCAGCAGGGAAGAUAAUGACGGUACCUGACUAAGAAGCACCGGCUAAAUACGUGCCAGCAGCCGCGGUAAUACGUAUGGUGCAAGCGUUAUCCGGAUUUACUGGGUGUAAAGGGAGCGUAGGCGGAACUUUAAGUCUGAUGUGAAAGCCCGGGGCUCAACUCCGGUACUGCAUUGGAAACUGGAGUUCUAGAGUGUCGGAGGGGUAAGUGGAAUUCCUAGUGUAGCGGUGAAAUGCGUAGAUAUUAGGAGGAACACCAGUGGCGAAGGCGGCUUACUGGACGAUUACUGACGCUGAGGCUCGAAAGCGUGGGGAGCAAACAGGAUUAGAUACCCUGGUA